GACGGAGGAUGCAAGUGUUAUCCGGAAUCACUGGGCGUAAAGCGUCUGUAGGUGGUUUAAUAAGUCAACUGUUAAAUCUUGAGGCUCAACCUCAAAAUCGCAGUCGAAACUAUUAGGCUAGAGUAUAGUAGGGGUAAAGGGAAUUUCCAGUGGAGCGGUGAAAUGCGUAGAGAUUGGAAAGAACACCGAUGGCGAAGGCGGCUCUCUGGACCGAUACUGACGCUGAGGCGCGAAAGCGUGGGGAGCAAACAGG
rnacentral:rRNA from 1 species